rnacentral:lncRNA from 10 species
CAUAUGGAUUUGCCACUGCUAACCUACUGCACACAGCCCACUGAAUUGCUUUCAGGACUUCCUAAUAAAGCAUGGGAUGCAGCUUUAAAAUCUUAGACAAUCCUCAUCACAGACCCUUUAAAUUUGACGACCCACUUUUAUGGCCAGACAAGUUGAAGUCGUGAGCCGUGAACUAUUUCCUCUCUUCACGCCGGGAAGUGCCUAGACCACAGUGGGGGGCCGGCCAGCCCUUCCAUCCCAAGAGCCAGCCCCUGUGGCUCCUGCGGCCCCUGCAUAAAUAUGGAACUCUCAGGCCAGGAUGGGAACUGCCAGGGCUCAAGCAGUAAACUUUAUAAGUUAUUACAAAACAGAAGUGUACACAGGGACACUGUAAUAAAGCGUAUUGGGAGUUACGGGAACUCUCCAACAAGUUUAGAAUCUCUGGUUUCAAAAACUAUUGCAACAUUAUAAUAAACAAAUAUCCAAAAGCUUAGAAAUAGAAAUUAAAGAUAAAGAUGGUCACGUUUGACCAAAAGAACAAUAUUUUCGUACUGAGCUUUGAUGAUACAAUUAUUAAUGAGGAAGAUGAUUUUAAAAUUAAAUUCCCCUUGUAAUUCAAGAUACAGUGAUACAAGGCAUAAACGGGCAAUUACGCUAUAGUGCAUUCAAUCCUUAAAGCCACCGCUGGUUUUCUGUAUAACCCCCACAGGUUGCAGGAAGGUCAGCCAUGAAACAUUAAAAUACCACUGUCUGUCUACAUUUAAAAUUAAAUUCAGAUUCACAUAAAAAUGAUUUGUAUAAAGAGUUAAAUAUUUUUAGAAAAAUUGUUCUGCAAGAAUCAUCAGCUCUAGAUAUACCAACAUUUGUAUUUCAAAAUUAUAAAAAAUGUAUCUCAAAGUUAUUAUAGCCUAUAAGAUACUCUUAAUAGCUCCAAUAAAAAAUGCAUCAGCAGAAAGGUCCUUCUUAAAAUGGAAAGUGUCCUAAAAUGAUUUGUGAGCUUGUAUUUGCCAACAGCAACUGAUGUCACAUUCAAUUAUAUCGAUUGAAAACAAAGUUGCUAAAAGUGUAAGCUUUGAUAACCUAAUAAAUGAAUUUGCAGAAAAGUGAGCCAGGGAAAGCUUCUAAUCCAGUUAUCACAUAAAGUAUUAUUUGUUUUAUUGUAUAAAUAAUCACACCCAAAAUAUUAUUUUGACAAAUUUGUAAGUUUAUGUUGUUACUCAUGCAUCACUAUUAUCCCUAUUACAUUGCAUAAGUAAUAAAUUUUUCAAGGGAAAAGCUUUCUAUUUCACCCCUGUAACUGCACUUUCCUCCUGCUUUUUGAAUAAGGGGCCUGAAUUUUUAUUUUGCACUGGGC